GACGAACGCUGGCGGCGUGCUUAACACCUGCAAGUCGAACGGAAAGGCCCUGCUUUUGUGGGGUGCUCGAGUGGCGAACGGGUGAGUAACACGUGAGUAACCUGCCCUUGACUUUGGGAUAACUUCAGGAAACUGGGGCUAAUACCGGAUAGGAGCUCCUGCUGCAUGGUGGGGGUUGGAAAGUUUCGGCGGUUGGGGAUGGACUCGCGGCUUAUCAGCUUGUUGGUUGGGUAGUGGCUUACCAAGGCUUUGACGGGUAGCCGGCCUGAGAGGGUGACCGGCCACAUUGGGACUGAGAUACGGCCCAGACUCCUACGGGAGGCAGCAGUGGGGAAUAUUGCACAAUGGGCGGAAGCCUGAUGCAGCAACGCCGCGUGCGGGAUGACGGCCUUCGGGUUGUAAACCGCUUUCGCCUGUGACGAAGCGUGAGUGACGGUAAUGGGUAAAGAAGCACCGGCUAACUACGUG
rnacentral:rRNA from 1 species